rnacentral:rRNA from 1 species
AGUCAUAUGCUUGUCUCAAAGAUUAAGCCAUGCAUGUCUCAGUACAAGCCAAAUUAAGGUGAAACCGCGAAAGGCUCAUUAAAUCAGUUAUGGUUCCUUAGAUCGUACCCACAUUACUUGGAUAACUGUGGUAAUUCUAGAGCUAAUACAUGCCAACAGAACUCUGACCGGAAACGGAAAGAGUGCUUUUAUUAGAUCAAAACCAAUCGGUGGCGGGCUUGCUCGUCAUCGUGAAGCUUGGUGACUCUGAAUAACUUUUGCUGAUCGCACGGUCUCGCACCGGCGACGCAUCUUUCAAAUGUCUGCCUUAUCAACUGUCGAUGGUAGGUUCUGCGCCUACCAUGGUUGUAACGGGUAACGGGGAAUCAGGGUUCGAUUCCGGAGAGGGAGCCUGAGAAACGGCUACCACAUCCAAGGAAGGCAGCAGGCGCGCAAAUUACCCACUCCCGGCACGGGGAGGUAGUGACGAAAAAUAACGAUACGGGACUCAUCCGAGGCCCCGUAAUCGGAAUGAGUACACUCUAAACCCUUUAACCAAGGUCAAUUGGAGGGCAAGUCUGGUGCCAGCAGCC